UACGUAGGCAGCAAGCGUUGUUCGGAGUUACUGGGCGUAAAGGGUGUGUAGGCGGUUGUUUACGUUUGGUGUGAAAUCUCCCGGCUCAACUGGGAGGGUGCGCCGAAUACUGAAUGACUAGAGUGCGGGAGAGGAAAGUGGAAUUCCUGGUGUAGCGGUGAAAUGCGUAGAUAUCAGGAGGAACACCGGUGGUGUAGACGGCUUUCUGGACCGUAACUGACGCUGAGACACGAAAGCGUGGGUAGCAAACAGG
rnacentral:rRNA from 1 species